rnacentral:rRNA from 1 species
AGGAUGAACGCUGGCGGCGUGCCUAACACAUGCAAGUCGAACGCGCUCCAUUCGGUAGCAAUACUGAUGAAGAGCGAGUGGCGAACGGGUGAGUAACACAUGAGCAACCUGCCCCGAAGACUGGGACAACACCGGGAAACCGGUGCUAAUACCGGAUAUCCCUAUCGGACCGCAUGAUCUGAUAAGGAAAGUUUUUCGCUUCGGGAGGGGCUCGUGGCCUAUCAGCUAGUUGGUGAGGUAACGGCCCACCAAGGCAUCGACGGGUAGCUGGUCUGAGAGGACGAUCAGCCACACUGGGACUGAGACACGGCCCAGACUCCUACGGGAGGCAGCAGUGGGAAUCUUGCGCAAUGGGCGAAAGCCUGACGCAGCAACGCCGCGUGGAGGACGAAGGCUUUCUGAGUUGUAAACUCCUUUCAGCAGGGACGAUAGUGACGGUACCUGCAGAAGAGCACCGGCCAACUACGUGCUAGCAGCCGUA